CUAGUCAUGUAGCCUAUGAGGAUGAGAACCUCCGGGGGCAGGGAGGUUCGACUCGAGCGAAGCGAGAGAACGUUGCGCCAGCAACGGCCCGCAG
rnacentral:sRNA from 1 species